rnacentral:misc_RNA from 1 species
GGACGGUCCGACAAUCCUCAAAAGUGGACCUCACAACGCGUAGGCUGGUGAAGUAAACCACAAUUCGUUUAUCCGAAACAGGUACGGUCUCAGAUCGCGUCGGAACCUGCGGCGAUUUAGUCGAGUUAGGGUCAAGAAAUUUGAGGACCGGUUCAGAGUCAGGCUGAAAUCGAAGUUGCGAUUGACCAUCCGACGGGAGAUUUGACCACGCUCUAAGCAAGGAAUUAACAAAUCGGACUCGAUGGAAGACGAUUGAAGCCUUUCU